UUUUGAAGAAUGAGCCUGCGAGUCAGCGGCAUGUCGCGAGGUUAACCCGUGUGGGGUAGUCGUAGCGAAAGCGAAUCCUAACUAGGGUGUUUUUUAGUGGCAUGUCCUGGACCCGAAGCGGAGUGAUCUACCCAUGGCCAGUGUGAAGCAAGGGUAAGACUUUGUGGAGGCGCGAACCCACUUAGGUUAAAAACUGAGGGGAUGAGUUGUGGGUAGGGGUGAAAGGCCAA
rnacentral:rRNA from 15 species